ACAUGCAAGUCGAACGCAGUAGCAAUACUGAGUGGCAGACGGGUGAGUAACAUGUGGGAAUCUGCCUUGUGGUUCAGGACAACAUUGGGAAACCGAUGCUAAUACUGGAUAAGCCCUUACGGGGAAAGUUUUAAUGCCAUAAGAUGAGCCCGCAUUUGAUUAGUUAGUUGGUGAGGUAAUGGCUCACCAAGACAAUGAUCAAUAGCUGAUCUGAGAGGAUGAUCAGCCACACUGGGACUGAGACACGGCCCAGACUCCUACGGGAGGCAGCAGUGGGGAAUCUUGCACAAUGGAGGAAACUCUGAUGCAGCGAUGCCGCGUGAGUGAAGAAGGCCUUUGGGUUGUAAAGCUCUUUUGUAGGGGAAGAUAAUGACUGUACCCUAAGAAUAAGGUCCGGCUAACUUCGUGCCAGCAGCCGCGGUAAUACGAAGGGACCUAGCGUAGUUCGGAAUUACUGGGCGUAAAGCGCGCGUAGGCCGUUGAGUUAGUUAAUUGUGAAAUCCCAAGGCUUAACUUUGGAACUGCAAUUAAAACUGCUCGACUAGAGUUUGAUAGAGGAAAGCGGAAUACAUAGUGUAGAGGUGAAAUUCGUAGAUAUUAUGUAGAACACCAGUUGCGAAGGCGGCUUUCUGGAUCAACACUGACGCUGAGGCGCGAAAGUAUGGGUAGCAAAGAGGAUUAGAUACCCUCGUAGUCCAUACCAUAAACGAUGAUUGCUAGAUGUUGGAAAUUUAUUUUCAGUAUCGCAGCUAACGCAUUAAGCAAUCCGCCUGGGGAGUACGACCGCAAGGUUAAAACUCAAAUGAAUUGACGG
rnacentral:rRNA from 1 species